rnacentral:rRNA from 1 species
GAUGAACGCUGGCGGCGUGCCUAAUACAUGCAAGUCGAGCGAACUGAUUAGAAGCUUGCUUCUAUGACGUUAGCGGCGGACGGGUGAGUAACACGUGGGCAACCUGCCUGUAAGACUGGGAUAACUUCGGGAAACCGAAGCUAAUACCGGAUAGGAUCUUCUCCUUCAUGGGAGAUGAUUGAAAGAUGGUUUCGGCUAUCACUUACAGAUGGGCCCGCGGUGCAUUAGCUAGUUGGUGAAGUAACGGCUCACCAAGGCAACGAUGCAUAGCCGACCUGAGAGGGUGAUCGGCCACACUGGGACUGAGACACGGCCCAGACUCCUACGGGAGACAGCAGUAGGGAAUCUUCCGCAAUGGACGAAAGUCUGACGGAGCAACGCCGCGUGAGUGAUGAAGGCUUUCGGGUCGUAAAACUCUGUUGUUAGGGAAGAACAAGUACAAGAGUAACUGCUUGUACCUUGACGGUACCUAACCAGAAAGCCACGGCUAACUACGUGCCAGCAGCCGCGGUAAUACGUAGGUGGCAAGCGUUAUCCGGAAUUAUUGGGCGUAAAGCGCGCGCAGGCGGUUUCUUAAGUCUGAUGUGAAAGCCCACGGCUCAACCGUGGAGGGUCAUUGGAAACUGGGGAACUUGAGUGCAGAAGAGAAAAGCGGAAUUCCACGUGUAGCGGUGAAAUGCGUAGAGAUGUGGAGGAACACCAGUGGCGAAGGCGGCUUUUUGGUCUGUAACUGACGCUGAGGCGCGAAGGCGUGGGGAGCAAACAGGAUUAGAUACCCUGGUAGUCCACGCCGUAAACGAUGAGUGCUAAGUGUUAGAGGGUUUCCGCCCUUUAGUGCUGCAGCUAACGCAUUAAGCACUCCGCCUGGGGAGUACGGUCGCAAGACUGAAACUCAAAGGAAUUGACGGGGGCCCGCACAAGCGGUGGAGCAUGUGGUUUAACUCGAAGCAACGCGAAGAACCUUACCAGGUCUUGACAUCCUCUGACAACUCUAGAGAUAGAGCGUUCCCCUUCGGGGGACAGAGUGACAGGUGGUGCAUGGUUGUCGUCAGCUCGUGUCGUGAGAUGUUGGGUUAAGUCCCGCAACGAGCGCAACCCUUGAUCUUAGUUGCCAGCAUUUAGUUGGGCACUCUAAGGUGACUGCCGGUGACAAACCGGAGGAAGGUGGGGAUGACGUCAAAUCAUCAUGCCCCUUAUGACCUGGGCUACACACGUGCUACAAUGGAUGGUACAAAGGGCUGCAAGACCGCGAGGUCAAGCCAAUCCCAUAAAACCAUUCUCAGUUCGGAUUGUAGGCUGCAACUCGCCUACAUGAAGCUGGAAUCGCUAGUAAUCGCGGAUCAGCAUGCCGCGGUGAAUACGUUCCUGGGCCU